GGUUAAACAUCAUGGAUGCUUUCCUCUUUUGUCGCCAGAGAAUCAAGACAGAAACCUGAUGUUGCCACCACUGAAUUUGUGGCAGGGAAGCCGGCAGAUGAAACAAAAACAACUGAUGACAAGUUUGGUCAGGUAUAAGAGAGGAAUAUCAUUAUGUCUCACUGGCAUUUCCGACCCUAUCACCAUCAUCAGCUGCAGCGGUACAAAGGAACAUGCCUGUGCACACUGCAUUCAAAAAGCUGCGUGAUAGAAACUGUAAUCUCACACUUGAGAGGAGCUGCACUAUGUACACUGUUCCCCGAGGAAGACACACUCUGACAGACGAGCAGAGAUGCACCUGUCUUGUCUCUUGCAUAAACGCACUCGGCUUCACGCUCACUGAGCUCCUUGCCCUGCUUUGACCUCGCCCUCGCCCCGAGCUGCACGUGUCUGUACGGCCCACACACACACACGCACACGCACACAGAAGUCUACAGCCAACUCAAUGAUCUAUCUGUACCCUACAUCCCAGUAAUACAAAUGUCAUCCACAGCCAUUUAACAUUUGCCCUUAGAGCUCUAAGAAAGUUCAGCAUUUCCCUUGACUGGGCUCCAACUCUCACUGGUCAAAUUCAAGGACUCCCCACUGACUUUCAAGGUCUUGUUUGGUAGAAUUAAGGGACUCUACAUUGCCUUGUUUUUGGGGGAAGACAAAGUACUGAUCAAAACCCUGUUUUUAACACGUCAAGACAAGACAUCAUGGCCAAAUCACUUUUAAACUGAAACAGUUCAGCUAUCACACACAUUUCCAUCACAGGAUUUUCUUCAGGAUGGAAGUAGUCAUGUUGAGAAACAUUCAUACAGAUUUGACACAAGACUUAAACAGUCUUUCUUGAUGAACCAUAUGAAGCUUUUAGCGUAAAUUCAGGAAGAAAGAUUUCCUCAUGAAAUCAAAUAUGAUUUUACUGGGUUACACAGGAUUUUCUGUCAGCCAGUGAAAGAUCACCGAGGGAUAUUUCAACUAUGUUACCUGUUAUGUCUUCUUGCUGCCACUGCAGUGAACGCUGCUUCAUCUCCUCCAUCAUUCCCACAGCCAGCCAGAGUCAAGGCCACGUCUACGGCUCCCCAGGGGGAUCUCUGAAAAGGCUGCAAAUUUGCCGCAACACAUGGAUUUCAUGGACUGAGUCAAUGCCAAAAAUCUUUUACAUUUUUUAAUAAAAAUCUGCAUUUUGCUUA